rnacentral:rRNA from 1 species
GUAAUACCGGAUGAUGUCGUGAGACCAAAGAUUUAUCGCUUUGGGAGGGGCCCAUGUGAUAUUAGCUAGUUGGUGAGGUAACGGCUCACCAAGGCGAAGAUGUCUAGCGGGUAUGAGAGUACGACCCGCGCCACUCGCACUGAGACACUGGCGAGACACCUACGGGUGGCUGCAGUCGAGGAUCUUCGGCAAUGGGCGAAAGCCUGACCGAGCGAUGCCGCGUGCGCGAUGAAGGCCUUCGGGUUGUAAAGCGCUUUAGUGGGGGAGAAAGGGGUAAAACCUUGAUCUAUCCCAAAAAUAAGCUCGGGCUAAGUUCGUGCCAGCAGCCGCGGUAAGACGAACCGAGCGAACGUUGUUCGGAAUCACUGGGCUUAAAGGGCGCGUAGGCGGGCUGUCAAGUCUGGGGUGAAAUCCCACGGCUCAACCGUGGAACUGCCUUAGAUACUGACGGCCUCGAGGGAGAUAGGGGCGAGCGGAACUGUGAGUGGAGCGGUGAAAUGCGUUGAUAUUCACAGGAACUCCGGUGGC